UCUGCCCACUGAUUUUAUAAUUAAAGGGCUGCAGUAUAUUGACUGUACAAAGGUAGCAUAAUCAUUAGUCAUUUAAUUGAUGACUUGUAUGAAGGAUUGGAUGAAAUAUAAACUGUCUCUUAAUUAUUAAAUAGAAUUUAAUUUUUUAAUUAAAAAGUUAAAAUAUAUUAAAAAGACGAGAAGACCCUAUAGAUUUUUAUAAAAAAUUUAGUUAAUAUUAUUUAUGAAAAAUUAAAAUUAAAAUUAAAUUUAUUUAUUGUAUUGGGGUGAUAGAAAAAUAUAAAAAACUUUUUAUAUAUUAAAACAUUUAUAAGUGGUUAAAUGAUCCAAUAUUAUUGAUUAUAAGAAAAAAUUACCUUAGGGAUAACAGCGUAAUUUUUUUUUUUAGUUCGUAUAAGAAAAAGAGUUUGCGACCUCGAUGUUGGAUUAAGAUAAAAUUUAAAUGCAGAAG
rnacentral:rRNA from 1 species